CCUACGGGAGGCAGCAGUGGGGAAUAUUGCGCAAUGGGGGCAACCCUGACGCAGCCAUGCCGCGUGUGUGAAGAAGGCCCUAGGGUUGUAAAGCACUUUCAAUUGGGAAGAAAGGUUGUAGGUUAAUAACCUGCAGCUGUGACAUUACCUUUAGAAGAAGCACCGGCUAACUCCGUGCCAGCAGCCGCGGUAAU
rnacentral:rRNA from 1 species